GCGACUACUACUGCUUCUACAUUCCCUCAUUAGAGGCGGCCGUGCUGGAAGACUGGUUGCUUCCUCGCCCUGCACUACUACUGGUUCUGCACUCGUUUUCAACUGCGUACCCAGCGUGCCCCUGUACUACUCUACGAUCUGCGCUCCAAAAGAUUACUUCGGCCACGAGCAUCACCUGUUACAGGAGCGGCUAAUACUGCUUCUACAUUCCCUGCCAGUGGCGUCCAGCUUGUAGACUGGACUUGUCUCCUCGCCCUGCACUACCGCUGGUGCUGCACUCCAGUUUUCGUCUGCGGUGGCUACCUACCACGCUCCUGCACAUCGACUCCCCGUUCUGCGUUCCAAAAGAGAUUACUUCGGGCACCAGCAUCACCUGUUCCAUGAGCGACUGCUAUUGCUUCUACGUUCUCUCGCGGACGGCGUCCUGCUGACAGACUGGACUUAGCCUGGCGCCCUUGCCCUUAAUUCUGGUUCCCAGCGUUUGCCGUCGGUUGUGGUGCAAGAGAAGUGUUCCAGCACGCUCAUUUCAAAGAACAUCCCUGGUCUUUCCUCACGAGCAACCAUCUCACGCACGGUCGUCCUGCCGCGUCCUCUAUGCAACAAGCAAGCUUCCUCAUACUCGUGAGCGCGUCGCACGUCUCCGCCAUGGCGGUGUCCUGCACUGUGUUGACGGCGUGUUCAGGCUCUGAAGGACUGCGUGUCGUCACCAUCCCGCGAGAGUCCAUCGGAUGUGCUCCUACAGUUCGCUGUUGCCUUUUUCCACAGGCAUAUUCAACAAGUUUAGCGUAGUAAGGGGGGGCUUUUCUGCUUUGGAAUAAGGGUACGUUGCUCUGCUAAUCGACGGAGCUUCUAGGAAUCGGGUUAAUAUGAAACAGAACAGUAAGAAAAAGUUCUCGUUACGUGGACACCACUGUCCCUAAGGGAUGUCAAUGUUUUCAUGAGCCGAUCUGUAAAUCUUUGGUGGCGAGAGUAAUGGACGCUCGUUGACAUUGUGCACUUUUAUAGUGGCAACUUGGUGUGUGUGUGUGCGUGUGUGUUGGUCUUCGUACACGUGUCGCCCACUCAGUGCUCCAUUUUUUUUUCGAUCGAGAACGCAUGAUACUUGCUCCACUGCUUGCUGGCGCAAAUAUUUCUUUAUGUUGGUAUCAUUUCCAGCGUCACAGUUCCUUCUUUUCCCGGUUUAUUCCUGUUGAGAGGUUCCUGGUUUGAUGGUUUACUGUCGUCUAUGGACAUCCGCUUUUGGAUUGGUCAAACCGCUGGUUUCUUUGACUUUGAUCCUUAGGUUAACCUCUGUGCUCGUUUCAGCAUUCAGCGCAUUCACGGUCGUUCCUGGAGGUUCCUGGUUUGAUGGUUUACUAUCGUCUAUGGACAUCCACUUUUGGACUGGUCGAACCGCUGGUUUCUUUGGCUUUGAUCCUUGCGUUGACCUCUGUGCUCGUUUCAGCAUUCAGCGCAUGCACGGUCGUUCUUGGAGGUUCCUGGUUUGAUGGUUUACUAUCGUCUAUGGAUAUCCGCUUUUUGGUUAGUCGAACCGCUGUUUCUUUGGCUUUUAUCCUUGAAUUGACCUCUGUGCUCGUUUCAGCAUUCAGCGCAUGCACGGUCGUUCCUGAAGGUUCCUGGUUUGAUGGUUUACUAUUUUCUAAAGACAUCCGCUUUUUGGUUGAUCGAACCGCUGGUUUCUUUGGCUGUGGUCCAUGGGUUGACCUCUGUGCUCGUUUCAGCAUUCAGCGCAUGCACGGUUGUUCCUGGAGGUUCCUGGUUUGAUUGUUUACUAUCGUCUAUGGACAUCCGCUUUUGGACUGGUCGAGCCGCUGGUUUCUUUGGCUGUGGUCCUUGGGUUGACCUCUGUGCUCGUUUCAGCAUUCAGCGCAUGCACGGUUGUUCCUGGAGGUUCUUGGUUUUGAUGGUUUACUAUCGUCUAUGGAGAUCCGCUUUUUGGUUGGUCGAACCGCUGCUUUCUUUGGCUUUGAUCCUUGGGUUGACCUCUGUGCUCGUUUCAGCAUUCAGCGCAUGCACGGCCGUUCCUGCAGGUUCCUAGUUUCAUGGUUUAAUGUCUAUGGACAUCCGCUUUUGGCCUGGUCGAACCGCUGGUUUCUUUGGCUUUGAUCCUUGGGUUGACAUCUGUGCUCGUUUGAGCAUUCAGCGCAUGCACGGUCGUUCCUGGAGGUUCCUGGUUUGAUGGUCUACUAUCGUCUAUGGAUAUCCGCUUUUUGGUUAGUCGAACCGCUGGUUUCUUUGGGUUUUAUCCUUGGGUUGACCUCUGUGCUCGUUUCAGCAUUUAGCGCAUGCACGGGCGUUCCUGGAGGUUCCUGGUUUGGUGGUUUACUAUCGUCUAUGGACAUCCGCGUUUGGAUUGGUCGAACCGCUGGCUUCUUUGGCUUUGAUCCUUGGAUUGACCUCUGUGCUCGUUUCAGCAUUCAGCGCAUGAACGGUUGUUCCUGGAGGUUCCUGGUUUGAUGGUUUACUAUCGUCUAUGGAUAUCCGCUUUUUGGUAAGUCGAACCGCUGGUUUCUUUGGCUUUUAUCCUUGGGUCUACCUCUGUGCUCGUUUCAACAUUCAGCGCAUGCACGGUCGUUCUUGGAGGUUCCUGGUUUGAUGGUUUACUAUCUUCUAUGGCUAUCCGCUUUUUGGUUUGUCGAACCGCUAUUUCUUUGGCUUUGAUCCUUGGGUUGACCUCUGUGCUCGUUUCAGCAUUCAGCGCACGCACGGUCGUUCCUGGAGGUUCCUUGUUUGAUGGUUUACUAUUGUCUAAAGACAUCCGCUUUUUGGUUGAUCGAACCGCUGGUUUCUUUGGCUGUGGUCCUUGGGUUGACCUCAGUGCUCGUUUCAGCAUUCAGCGCAUGCACGGUUGUUCCUGGAGGUUCCUGGUUUGAUGGUUUACUAUCGUCUAUGGACAUCCGCUUUUGGACUGGUCGAGCCGCUGGUUUCUUUGGCUGUGGUCCUUGGGUUGACCUCCGUGCUCGUUUCAGCAUUCAGCUCAUGCACGGUCGUUCUUGGAGGUUCCUGGUUUGAUGGCUUACUAUCGUCUAUGGAUAUCCGCUUUUUGGUUAGUCGAACAGCUGUUUCUUUGGCUUUUAUCCUUGAGUUGACCGCUGUGCUCGUUUCAGCAUUCAGCGCAUGCACGGUCGUUCCUGAAGGUUCCUGGUUUGAUGGUUUACUAUUGUCUAAAGACAUCCGCUUUUUGGUUGAUCGAACCGCUGGUUUAUUUGGCUGUGGUCCUUGGGUUGACCUCUGUGCUCGUUUCAGCAUUCAGCUCAUGCACGGGUGUUCCUGGAAGUUCCUGGUUUGAUGGUUGACUAUUGCCUAAAGACAUACGCUUUUUCGUUGAUCGAACCGCCGGUUUCUUUGGCUGUGGUCCUUGGGUUGACCUCUGUGCUCGUUUCAGCAUUCAGCGCAUGCACGGUCGUUCCUGGUUUGAUGGUUUACUAUCGUCUAUGGACAUCCGCUUUUGGAUUGGUCGAACCGCUGGUUUCUUUGGCUUUGAUCCUUGGGUUGACCUCUGUGCUCGUUUCAGCAUUCAGCGCAUGCACGGUCGUUCCUGGAGGUUCCUGGUUUGAUGGUUUACUGUCGUCUAUGGACAUCCGCUUUUGGCCUGGUCGAACCGCUGGUUUCUGUGGCUUUGAUCCUUCGGUUGACAUCUGUGCUCGUUUCAGCAUUCAGCGCAUGCACGGUCGUUCCUGGAGGUUCCUGGUUUGAUGGUUUACUAUCGUCUAUGGAUAUCCGCUUUUGGAUUGGUCGAACCGCUGGUUUCUUUGGCUUUGAUCCUUGGGUUGACCUCUGUGCUCGUUUCAGCAUUCAGCGCAUGCACGGUCGCUCCUGGAGGUUCCUGGUUUGAUGGUUUACUAUCGUCUAUGGACAUCAGCUUUUGGAGUGGUCGAACCGCUGGUUUCUUUGGCUUCGAUCCUUGGGUUGACCUCUGUGCUCGUUUCAGCGUUCAGCGCAUGCACGGUCGUUCCUGGAGGUUCCUGGUUUGAUGGUUUACUAUCGUCUAUAGAUAUCCGCUUUUUGGUUAGUGGAACCGCUGGUUUCUUUGGGUUUUAUCCUUGGGUUGACCUCUGUGCUCGUUUCAGCAUUCAGCGCAUGCACGGUCGCUCCUGGAGGUUCCUGGUUUGAUGGUUUACUAUUGUCUAAAGUUAUCCGCUUUUUGGUUGAUCGAACCACUGGUUUCUUUGGCUUUGAUCCUUGGGUGUACCUCUGUGCUCGUUUCAGCAUUCAGCGCAUGCACAGUCGUUCCUGGAGGUUCCUGGUUUGAUGGUUUACUAUCGUCUAUGGACAUCCGCUUUUGGACUGGUCGAGCCGCUGGUUUAUUUGGCUUUCAUCCGUGGGUUGACUUUUGUGCUCGUUUCAGUAUUCAGCGCAUGCACGGUCGCCCCUGGAGUUUCCUGGUUUGAUGGUUUACUAUCGUCUAGACAUCCGUUUUUGGUUGGUCGAACCGCUGGUUUCUUUGGCUGUGGUCCUUGGGUUGACCUCUGUGCUCGUUUCAGCAUUCAGCGCAUGCACGGUCGCUCCUGGAGGUUCCUGGUUUGAUGGUUUACUAUCGUCUAUGGACAUCAGCUUUUGGAGUGGUCGAACCGCUGGUUUCUUUCGCUUUGAUCCUUGGGUUGACCGCUGUGCUAGUUUCAGCAUUCAGCGCACGAACGGUCAUUCCUAAGGUUCCUGGUUUGAUUGUUUACUAUCGUCUAUGGAGAUCCGCUGUUUGGUUGAUCGAACCGCUGGUUUCCUUGGCUGUGGUCCUUGGGUUGACCUCUGUGCUCGUUUCAGCAUUCAGCGCAUGCACGGUUGUUCCUGAAGGUUCCUGGUUUGAUGGUUUACUAUCCUCUCUGGACAUCCACUUUCGGACUGGUCGAACCGCUGGUUUCUUUGGCUUUGAUCCUUGGGUUGACCUCUGUGCUCGUUUCAGCAUUCAGCGCAUGCACGGUCGUUCUUGGAGGUUCCUGGUUUGAUGGCUUACUAUCGUCUAUGGAUAUCCGCUUUUUGGUUAGUCGAACAGCUGUUUCUUUGGCUUUUAUCCUUGAGUUGACCUCUGUGCUCGUUUCAGCAUUCAGCGCAUGCACGGUCGUUCCUGAAGGUUGCUGGUUUGAUGGUUUACUAUUGUCUAAAGACAUCCGCUUUUUGGUUGAUCGAACCGCUGGUUUCUUUGGCUGUGGUCCUUGGGUUGACCUCUGUGCUCGUUUCAGCAUUCAGCGCAUGCAUGGUUGCUCCUGGAGGUUCCUGGUUUGAUGGUUUACUAUCGUCUAUGGACAUCCGCUUUUGGACUGGUCGAGCCGCUGGUUUCUUUGGCUGUGGUCCUUGGGUUGACCUCUCUGCUCGUUUCAGCAUUCAGCGCAUGCGCGGUUGUUCCUGGAGGUUCUUGGUUUGAUGGUUUACUAUCGUCUAUGGAAAUCUGCUUUUUGGUUGGUCGAACCGCUGCUUUCUUUGGCUUUGAUCCUUGGGUUGACCUCUGUGCUCGUUUCAGCAUUCAGCGCAUGCACGGCCGUUCCUGCAGGUUCGUAGUUUUAUUGUUUACUGUCUAUGGACAUCCGCUUUUGGCCUGGCCGAACCGCUGGUUUCUUUGGCUUUGACCCUUGGGUUGACCUCUGUGCUCGUUUCAGCAUUCAGCGCAUGCACGGUCGUUCUUGGAGGUUCCUGGUUUGAUGGCUUACUAUCGUCUAUGGAUAUCCGCUUUUUGGUUAGUCGAACAGCUGUUUCUUUGGCUUUUAUCCUUGAGUUGACCGCUGUGCUCGUUUCAGCAUUCAGCGCAUGCACGGUCGUUCCUGAAGGUUCCUGGUUUGAUGGUUUACUAUUGUCUAAAGACAUCCGCUUUUUGGUUGAUCGAACCGCUGGUUUAUUUGGCUGUGGUCCUUGGGUUGACCUCUGUGCUCGUUUCAGCAUUCAGCGCAUGCACGGUCGUUCUUGGAGGUUCCUGGUUUGAUGGCUUACUAUCGUUUAUGGAUAUCCGCUUUUUGGUUAGUCGAACAGCUGUUUCUUUGGCUUUGAUCCUUGGGUUGACAUCUGUGCUCGUUUGAGCAUACAGCGCAUGCACGGUCGUUCCUGGAGGUUCCUGGUUUGAUGGUCUACUAUCGUCUAUGGACAUCCGCUGUUGGAUUGGUCGAACCGCUGGUUUCUUUGGCUUUGAUCCUUAGGUUGACCUGUGUGCUCGUCUUAGCAUUCAGCGCAUGCACGGUCGUUCCUGGAGGUUCCUGGUUUGAUGGUUUACUAUCGUCUAUGGACAUCCGCUUUUGGACUAGUCGAACCGCUGGUUUCUUUGGCUUUGAUCCUUGGGUUGACGUCUGUGCUCGUUUCAGCAUUCAGCGCAUGCACGGUCGUUCCUAGAGGUUCCUGGUUUGAUGGUUUACUCUCAUCUAUGGACAUCCGCUUUUGGACUGGUCGAACCGCUGGUUUCUUUGGCUUUGAUCCUUGGUUUGACCUCUGCUCGAUUCAGCAUUCUGCGCGUGCACGGUCGUUCUUGGAAGUUCCUGGUUUGAUGGUUUACUAUAGUCUAUGGAUAUCCGCUUUUUGGUUAGUCGAAACGCUGUUUCUUGGGCUUUUAUCCUUGGGUUGACAUCUGUGCUCGUUUCAGCAUUCAGCGCAUGCGCGGUCGUUCCUGGAGGUUCCUGGUUUGAUGGUUUACUAUAAUCUAUGGACAUUCGCUUUUGGAUUGGUCGAACCGCUGGUUUCUUUGGCUUUGUUCCUUGGGUUGACCUUUGUGCUCGUUUCAGCAUUCAGCGCAUGCACGGUCGUUUCUGGAGGUUCCUGGUUUGAUGGUUUACUAUCGUCUAUGGACAUCCGCUUUUUGGUUGGUCGAACCGCUGGUUUCUUUGGCAUUGGUCCUUGGGUUGAUCUGUGCUCGUUUCAGCAUUCAACGGAUUUGUUCAGGCGUCUUUCUCGUGCCAGGAACGGUCUUCACACAUACUCGGUUCUUCCACGUCGCUCAUCACUGACUCGAAAAGAAUAACACACCACUACAAAAGGACACAAUGUCAAUGAACGGGAAAGGGGAGGGUAUUCUCGCCAACUGAAAUUUCCUUAUUUGCUCAUGGUGAUAAUGACGUCCAUCUUUAAGACUGGUUGGUGGUAAGUGCCACCAGGCUCGCUGUUUAGUUUUUUUGGUGUCCUUGACUCACCAAACGCUUUUGUGGAUCUACAUGGUCGAAGUUAUGUAGUACCUGUCGUUUGUUUAUCGGACAGUGCUACCCGCUGUCGUCGCUUGUUCAACACAUAUACUGCGCCGUAGUUUGAUAUGUGUCCACAACUAUCGCGUACUCUGCAAGAUCGGUAGGAAUGAAGGACCAUGGCGCCCUUCACGCGGCUGUGACGUCAUUGCCUGCCGACUGUAUUUCAGAUUACGAAUACCUAUGCAAUUUCAUGAUUAAAGUGCACCGCGUGAGCCAUUGUCAAACAGCUCUUUCGAAGGGGCUAAACGCCCUCCCAUUUUGCGUGUCGUGUGUAAACACACCUAGACAAGUGACGUGCAUGAGCACGCUCAAAGAAAUCUUCAUUCGAAAAUGUCCGCUUUACUUGUACAUUUUGUGUUGAAGUGAGUUAAGCUUACCAGAGUUUCCCCCCGUAAUUUUUCUGUACGCUGUGUUGGUCUCCAUUGCUCUUCGAAUGCAUCUCAAUGCGUUUGCUGUGAAUGUUUGAAUUUGCACAUGCUACAGCUAUUAUGCUAAUCUCAAUAUAAGGAGGCACACUUGAUUUAUUACGGAUUACUUUCAUUGUUCUCAACCUGUAAUAGCCUUACCUCUGCGUUGCUUCAUAACGAAAAUAUGAGCACUGUCCUUGGUAAAUGGUUACGUGUGCCGCAUUACUCUGCCCAUUUUUUUUUCGCUGCUUUCAUCCAUUGUGAUUAAAAACUCGGGCAAGCACGCAUGCGCGAUUGUGGUCACUCAAAUCCCUUUUUCUUAAAGGGACACUAAAGGCAGAUCACUCGACGUGGACUGUUUAAACAUUUUAUAUAAGCCUCGCAAUGUGUGUUUCGUGCCAAGAAAAGACUUGGCUUACGAGAAAAUUGCAUCUGAAGGGCCUGGAUACCUGUUUCGAAAUUGAAGUUUCCCGCCACCGAGCCCGGGGAGUGCUGACGUUGCAUACGCCAUCGCCACCCUUUCCUGCCGUCGAGGAGUAAAUUGGAGCCCGACAGACGGCGGAUUCGCCGCUGCAGCUGCUUCUUGGUCAAAUGGCGUGGACCGUUCGGGCAUCGCGCGACAUCACAUGGAAGCUGAACUCUAUGCUGCUAGCAGUUUGUGCGAGUAUCGCGUUCCAGCAAAACCAGCGUAGCACUACGCGAUAACUAAUGAAACGCGAAGCCAUGGGCGGCACGGAGUCGAGAGAAAACGAAACCUUUCGACCGACCGCGUCGGUGUCAGGGUUAUGUGAAUGAGCUUUCUUUUGUUUUGGGAAAGUGAAAUAGAACCGGACAAGCAGGAUUUUAUUUCGUCUUGUAAUACAAUGCAAGGACAUUUUGUGCAACGAGUGGUUUAGUACUAGUGACAGAAUUUAACUGACGAGUGCGUUCGUCAUCGGGCAACUAUACUUGAGUCUUUAAUCAUGUCCGGCAUUUACCUCAAUUUCUCAAAUAAGGCUCUGUUCGCGAUAAUAUUGACGCCUUAGAUAGUCCCGAACCCUAGCCUAUCACUUUAGCUCGACUUGAUAUUUGCCUUUAGUGUCCCUUUAACCUCGAACAUACACACAGCGCAAUGUAGCCUUAUUGUAGGAAUUGUCUUUUCAUUUGCCAUCUUCAGUUGCAUGAGUCCUGCAAUUGCACCACGCGAUGCUCGCAAUCAGCUUACGAUAGGACCAGUGUGGAGAUUUGGACUUCUUGCUUUGCGUCCGCCGUGGUUGCUUAGUGGCUAUGCUGUUGGGCUGCUAAGCACGAGGUCGCGCUAUCGAAUCCCGGCCACGGCGGCCGCAUUUCAAUGGGGCCGAAAUGCGAAAACACCCGUGUACUGCGAUUUAGGUGCACAUUAAAGCAGCCCAUGUCGUCCAAAUUUCCGGAGUCUCCCACUGUGGCGUGCAUCAUCAGAUCGUGGUUUUCGCUCGUAAAACCUCGCAAUUUUUUGUUGGUAUGUGUCAUCUUGGAGGCUUUUCGUUUUUGUAUUAUGCAACUGGUACGUGGAAGCAAAGACACACCCACACAGCACUCAAUAGUUCGCAAUACGUCAGCGAUGCACGAAAUAACUGCACAUUGAGGUCAUAAUAUUGGAGAAUGUGACGUGGUAUAUAUAGAUCGUCGUCUAGAAAUGUGUUGUAGGCCCUUCUGUGCGUUUCGCAUCUAAGUGGGAAAGUUCGCACACUUACGCUCUUUCUUCUUUACUCAAAACAAAUGCCGGAAGCGUUUUUUUUUCACAUCUCCCAGCGAAGGCGCUCUAAAACGCUUCCCCAUUUCAGACAAAUUUUACAGCUUGAAGCUAUGUGACCAUUAAUGUAUGCAAAGAAAUCUGUAACUGCGCCUUGACUUGUGCUGUUAUGUUCGGUUUAUUGAUGUAAGAAAACUGUUGUCCGUUUUACAUUUAUAUAUGUCGAAGUAUAUCGUGAAGCUGAGAAAUUAUCUGUGCUAUGUAAAUUUCGGUAUGUAUUUGACGUGUAUUCCUGUACAAAUGCAUAAAUUUAUGUUAGUGCACUGUAUAUAUGCGGCUGUUUGAAAAAUCUGAUUAAGUGCAGUUAUGUAGCAUUGAUUCGCUUUUAAUUCGCUUUACUCGACAGUCUUGUUUUGCGGUGGUUGUACUCAGCAUGCAUUGCAUUAAACUGCACCUUGCAAAUCAUGUCAAAAUAAAACUUUAUUUUUGUUGCCCGUC